rnacentral:rRNA from 1 species
CAUGUCUUUUUGAUUAUAAUUUAAAGUCUAAUCUGCUCAAUGAGGAUUUAAAUUGCCGCGGUAUUUUGACCGUGCAAAGGUAGCAUAAUAAUUAGUUUCUUUAUUGGAAGCUGGAAUGAAUGAUUGGACGAGAGAAUAGCUGUCUCUAGAUAAAUUAUUUUUGAAUUUUACUUUUAAGUUAAAAGGCUUAAAUUUAUUUUAAAGACGAGAAGACCCUAUAGAGUUUUAUAUAUUAGUUAAUUAUGAGUUUUUGGUUAUUUAAUUUUUUAAUUAAUUUUUAUAUUUGGUUGGGGUGACUAAAAGAUUAAUUAAACUCUUUAAAAAUUUUGAAUCAUAGAUUUAUGAUUUUUUAAUCUAGUUUUUCUAAAUUUAAAAUAAAUUACCUUAGGGAUAACAGCGUAAUUUCUUUUUAGAGUUCUUAUUGAAAGAGAAGUUUGCGACCUCGAUGUUGGAUUAAAAUUAAUUUUUGGUGCAGAAGCUUGAAAAUUAGGUCUGUUCGACCUUUAAAAUUUUACAUGAUCUGAGU